rnacentral:rRNA from 1 species
AUUGAACGCUGGCGGCAUGCCUUACACAUGCAAGUCGAACGGUAACAGGUCUUCGGAUGCUGACGAGUGGCGAACGGGUGAGUAAUACAUCGGAACGUGCCUAGUAGUGGGGGAUAACUACUCGAAAGAGUGGCUAAUACCGCAUGAGAUCUACGGAUGAAAGCAGGGGAUCGCAAGACCUUGUGCUACUAGAGCGGCCGAUGGCAGAUUAGGUAGUUGGUGGGAUAAAAGCUUACCAAGCCGACGAUCGUUAGCUGGUAUGCGAUGACGAUCAGCGACACUGGAACUGGGAAACGGCACAGACUCCUACGGUAGGCAGCAGUGGGGAAUUUUGGACAAUGGGCGCAAGCCUGAUCCAGCGAUGCCGCGUUCAGGAUGAAGGCCUUCGGGUUGUAAACUGCUUUGUUACGGAACGAAAAGCCCCGGGUGAAUACCCUGGGGUCAUGACGGUACCGUAAGAAUAAGCACCGGCUAACUACGUGCCAGCAGCCGCCGUAA